ensembl:lncRNA
AAACAACUGGAGGCAAUUGUCAUGGUCCCCGCACCUCGCCAGCUGACAGCAGUCAGGCGCUUUGUUUUGUUUAUUCUCCUCUCUCGCCUCUGCUCUCUCUUUCUCUCUCGUCCUCUCCCACUCUCUCUUUCUCCUGCCGGGGCGGAGCUCAGUAUGGGCUCCCGCUCCUGGCCCACGCACCUGGGGAUGAUCAGCACACCUGCCGCUGAUUACGAGAAUUGGAGUCCUACUUAAGAUGGCGAGUCUGCUCUACUCGUCGCUGGAUCGUUGAGAUUUCCCCUGGACCCGUUUCCCUGUGCACGGUGACUGAGCAUGAGCAAGAGUGGUAGAGGAAAGAAGAGGAGCUGUGUGUGUUUGCGAGGGCUGUAUGGAAAUCUCCCCUCCCUGGACUUCUGCCCCUUUCACUCCAGGACCCUGGAACCCCGGCCCCUUUUCCCCAGACACAGUUGUGUGUGUGUGUGUGUGUGUGUGUGUGUGUGUGUGUGUGUGUGUGUGUGUGUGUGUGUGUGUGUAUAUAUAUUUCACUGUGGAGAACACUGUAAAUAAAUUCACUUUUGAUUUGAAGGAACUUGUAGUCUGCGCCUGAGUCCGCUCCACUAAUCGUGACAGCAAUGAAGCUGAACAAAAAACAGCUUCUUGUUUUAAUCAGCAAUUCAAAGUAAAAAAAAAAAAAAAGUCAGAGAUUGUUUAUAGGCCUUAUAUUUCAUGCCAGCAGUCAUUUUGGAUAAAAGAAAGAUACCCGUCUUUCUCCCCCCCAAGAGUGAACCCACAUUUGCAGGGAAUGAACCAUAAAAGCUGGUGACAUCCAUGGGUUUUCAUCCUGUUAUAAGCAGCACAGGUGCAUCAUGGCUGUGGUAUCACCUCCCGUCAUUGGCUGCGCAUCACAUGGCCUGUCCAUGAGCUGGUCGACAGAAAAUGUGGCAGCAAAGUGAGGGGGUGGAAAUCAAACAGGGAAAAAAAAAAAAAGUAAAAUGGGGUUUACUGUGGCACAAUGACAGUUCAAUCGGCACGCGGUCUUUGGAGUCUCCGAUGGGUUACACAGCCUCAGUGUUUAGCUGUCCCUUUGUAAAUGUCAUAGACAAAGCAGAAAUGCCAGGCUUUGUGUAUUUUCUGGCUGUAGCAUGUCCUGCAGCAGAACAAAAGGAGUUAUUUACAUAAACACGGUGCAGAUGUCCGUCACGCG